rnacentral:rRNA from 1 species
CCUACGGUAGGCAGCAGUGGGGAAUAUUGCACAAUGGGGGAAACCCUGAUGCAGCAACGCCGCGUGAAGGAAGACGGUUUUCGGAUUGUAAACUUCUGUUCUUAGUGAAGAAUCAUGACGGUAGCUAAGGAGCAAACCACAGAUAACAACGUGCCAGCAGCGGCGGUAAUACGUAGGUGGCAAGCGUUGUCCGGAAUUACUGGGUGUAAAGGGAGCGCAGGCGGGAAGCCAAGUCAGCUGUGAAAACUACGGGCUUAACUUGUAGACUGCAAUGGAAACUGGUUUUCUUGAGUGAAGUAGAGGCUGGCGGAAGUCCGAGUGUAGCGGUGAAAUGCGUAGAUAUACGGAGGAACACCGGUGGCGAAGGCGGACAACUGGGCUUUAACUGACGCUGAGGCGCGAAAGUGUGGGGAGCAAACAGGAUUAGAUACCCGAGUAGUC